UACAGAGGGGGCAAGCGUUGUCCGGAUUUACUGGGCGUACAGCGCGCGCAGGCGGACCUGGACGUGCCGUGUGACAGCCCACCGCUCACCGGUGGAAGGCCACGGUACACGACAGGUCUGGAGGCAGGGAGAGGGAUGUGGAAUGCCCGGUGGAGCGGUGAAAUGCGCAGAUAUCGAGGAAGACACCCGUGGCAAGGCGGCUCUGGUAC
rnacentral:rRNA from 1 species